rnacentral:rRNA from 1 species
UUGCAGACUUCGGUCUGCUACCUCUUACCCAUGUCUUUUGAGUACCUUCGUUUCCUCGGCGGGUCCGCCCGCCGAUUGGACAACAUUCAAACCCUUUGCAGUUGCAAUCAGCGUCUGAAAAAACAUAAUAGUUACAACUUUCAACAACGGAUCUCUUGGUUCUGGCAUCGAUGAAGAACGCAGCGAAAUGCGAUAAGUAGUGUGAAUUGCAGAAUUCAGUGAAUCAUCGAAUCUUUGAACGCACAUUGCGCCCCUUGGUAUUCCAUGGGGCAUGCCUGUUCGAGCGUCAUUUGUACCUUCAAGCUCUGCUUGGUGUUGGGUGUUUUGUCUCGCCUCCGCGUGUAGACUCGCCUUAAAACAAUUGGCAGCCGGCGUAUUGAUUUCGGAGCGCAGUACAUCUCGCGCUUUGCACUCAUAACGACGACGUCCAAAAGUACAUUUUUACACUCUUGACCUCGGAUCAGGUAGGGAUACCCGCUGAACUUAAGCAUAUCAAUAAGCCCGGAGGAA